GCAAGUCGAACGGAACUUUUAGCUUUUCCGAAAGUUUAGUGGCGAAAGGGUGAGUAACACGUGGGUAACCUGCCCUUAGGCUCGGGAUAACCCGUCGAAAGACGGGCUAAUACCGGAUACGGUCCUAUGUCUUCUGAUAUAGGAAAAAAGAUGGGGAUUCGCAAGAACCUAUCACCUUUGGAUGGGCCCGCGGCCUAUCAGCUAGUUGGUGAGGUAACGGCUCACCAAGGCUAAGACGGGUAGCUGGUCUGAGAGGAUGGUCAGCCACACUGGGACUGAGACACUGCCCAGACACCUACGGGUGGCUGCAGUCGAGAAUCUUUCGCAAUGGGGGCAACCCUGACGAAGCGACGCCGCGUGCAGGAUGACGGCCUUCGGGUUGUAAACUGCUGUCAGCUGGGACGAAAACGUCUCCGGUGAACAAUCGGAGACCUUGACAGUACCAGCAGAGGAAGCCACGGCUAACUCUGUGCCAGCAGCCGCGGUAAUACAGAGGUGGCAAGCGUUGUUCGGAUUUAUUGGGCGUAAAGGGUCCGUAGGCGGUCCGGAAAGUCAGAUGUGAAAUCCCACAGCCUAACUGUGGAACUGCAUUUGAAACUCCCGGGCUUGAGUAUGAGAGGGGGUGAAGGGAAUUCCCGGUGUAA
rnacentral:rRNA from 1 species